ACGAACGCUGGCGGCGUGCUUAACACAUGCAAGUCGAACGGAAAGGCCCCUUUGGGGGUACUCGAGUGGCGAACGGGUGAGUAACACGUGAGUAACCUGCCCUUGACUUCGGGAUAACUUCAGGAAACUGGGGCUAAUACCGGAUAGGAAUCCUUGCUGCAUGGUGGGGGUUGGAAAGCUUCGGCGGUUUUGGAUGGACUCGCGGCUUAUCAGCUUGUUGGUGGGGUAGUGGCUUACCAAGGCUUUGACGGGUAGCCGGCCUGAGAGGGCGACCGGCCACAUUGGGACUGAGAUACGGCCCAGACUCCUACGGGAGGCAGCAGUGGGGAAUAUUGCACAAUGGGCGGAAGCCUGAUGCAGCAACGCCGCGUGCGGGAUGACGGCCUUCGGGUUGUAAACCGCUUUCAGCAGGGGCGAAGCUUAUGGUGACGGUACCUGCAGAAGAAGCACCGGCUAACUACGUG
rnacentral:rRNA from 1 species